rnacentral:rRNA from 1 species
GACGAACGCUGGCGGCGUGCUUAACACAUGCAAGUCGAACGGAAAGGCCCUGCUUUUGUGGGGUGCUCGAGUGGCGAACGGGUGAGUAACACGUGAGUAACCUGCCCUUGACUUUGGGAUAACUUCAGGAAACUGGGGCUAAUACCGGAUAGGAGCUCCUGCUGCAUGGUGGGGGUUGGAAAGUUUCGGCGGGUGGGGAUGGACUCGCGGCUUAUGAGCUUGUUGGUGGGGUAGUGGCUUACCAAGGCUGUGACGGGUAGCCGGCCUGAGAGGGUGACCGGCCACAUGGGUACUGAGAGACGGCGCAGACUCCUACGGGAGGCAGCAGUGGGGAAUAUUGCACAAUGGGCGGAAGCCUGAUGCAGCAACGCCGCGUGCGGGAUGACGGCCUUCGGGUUGUAAACCGCUUUCGCCUGUGACGAAGCGUGAGUGACGGUAAUGGGUAAAGAAGCACCGGCUAACUACGUG